rnacentral:lncRNA from 1 species
CUUGCCAAAAGAUGGACUUGGAACAUUUUCCUCUAACUAAGAAAAAUGCGGCAUUCCAAACGAACUCACUGUCCUGAUUGGGAUAGCAGAGAAAGCUGGGGCCAUGAAAGCUACAGUGGAAGUCACAAACGGAAGAGGAGAUCUCAUAGCAGUACGCAGGAGAAUAGGCAUUGUAAACCACAUCAUCAGUUUAAAGACACUGAUUGAUGUUCCAUUGGGGCUGUUUACCAGAUUGCUUUCUAAAUUAGCCAGCUGGGGUUACUUUAAAAACAUCACUAUUUAGAAGCAAGAUGCUUGAAUGAGAGAGAUUAUCGGGAUCGGAGAUACAUUGAUGAAUACAGAAAUGACUACUGUGAAGGAUAUGUUCCAAGACAUUACCAUAGAGACAUUGAAAGCACUUACCGGAUCCAUUGCAGUAAAUCCUCAGUCAGAAGCAGGAGAAGCAGCCCUAAAAGAAAACGUAACAGACACUGUGCGAGUCAUCAGUCACAUUCGAUGAAAUCGUGGACACUUUAGGUGAAGGGGCCUUUGGCAAAGUUGUAGAGUGCAUUGAUCAUGGCAU